rnacentral:rRNA from 1 species
GUAGGUGGCAAGCGUUGUCCGGAAUUAUUGGGCGUAAAGCGCGCGCAGGCGGUUUUUUAAGUCUGAUGUGAAAGCCCACGGCUCAACCGUGGAGGGUCAUUGGAAACUGGAGAACUUGAGUACAGAAGAGGAAAGCGGAAUUCCACGUGUAGCGGUGAAAUGCGUAGAGAUGUGGAGGAACACCAGUGGCGAAGGCGGCUUUCUGGUCUGUAACUGACGCUGAGGCGCGAAAGCGUGGGGAGCAAACAGGGAUUAGGUACCCUGGUAGUCCACGCCGUAAACGAUGAGUGCUAAGUGUUAGGGGGUUUCCCGCCCCCUUAGUGCUGCAGCUAACGCAUUAAGCACUCCGCCUGGGGAGUACGGCCGCAAGGCUG